rnacentral:lncRNA from 1 species
CUGUACCAGGAGUUUGUGCUCACCACCAAGAACUACAUCCGCACCUGCCUGGACAUCAAGGGCGAGUGGCUGAUCGAUGUGGCGCCGCACUACUUCGACCUCUCCAACUUCCCCGCCGGCGAGUGCAAGCGCGCGCUUGAGCGCCUGUACGCCAAGAAGGAGAAGGACAAGAGCGACCGGUUCUAAGCAGUUGCGUCCCCGUGCUCGUGCGUGCGUGGCUGUGUGUGUGCUCAAGUGUGCAGUCGUUGUGUUGUGGAGAGAUGUGUGGGGUACAACG